rnacentral:rRNA from 1 species
CUAAGGCUCCAGAGGAAGCCACGGCUAACUCUGUGCCAGCAGCCGCGGUAAUACAGAGGCGGCAAGCGUUGUUCGGAAUUAUUGGGCGUAAGGAGCACGUAGGCGGCCUUGCAAGUCAGUUGUGAAAGCCUUCCGCUUAACGGAAGAAUGCCAGCUGAUACUACAGGGCUUGAGUACGGGAGGGGAGAGUGGAACUUCUGGUGGAGCGGUGAAAUGCGUAGAUAUCAGAAGGAACGCCGGCGGCGAAAGCGACUCUCUGGCCCGAAGCUGACGCUGAGUGUGCGAAAGCUAGGGGAGCAAACGGGAUUAGAUACCCCGGUAGUCCUAGCCGUAAA